rnacentral:lncRNA from 1 species
GUACUUUUUAGGGCUUCUUUUUGCAUGAUGGAAAUAUUCUUGUAUUAGUGUCGAUAGAUGUACAUCAGUAGAGUAUCCACAUCACCAUGGAACUGCAUCUUUUAGAACGAGGCUGAAGAGAAGAAAUCGUUUUGGAAUGAAACAAGCAUUUUGAAUUUUUGCCCCCGAGUAUGAAAUACUCCCAAGCAGAUGCAAACUGUUUGUAAGAUGUAAACACUCGCUGGUGGUACAUAGAAAAUGUGCUGAGGACUGCCUUAUUUCUUUGAGUAAAAUAAACCUGUUGAUAGCCA